rnacentral:rRNA from 1 species
GACGAACGCUGGCGGCGUGCUUAACACAUGCAAGUCGAACGGAAAGGCCCUGCUUUUGUGGGGUGCUCGAGUGGCGAACGGGUGAGUAACACGUGAGUAACCUGCCCUUGACUUUGGGAUAACUUCAGGAAACUGGGGCUAAUACCGGAUAGGAGCUCCUGCUGCAUGGUGGGGGUUGGAAAGUUUCGGCGGUUGGGGAUGGACUCGCGGCUUAUCAGCUUGUUGGUGGGGUAGUGGCUUACCAAGGCUUUGACGGGUAGCCGGCCUGAGAGGGUGACCGGCCACAUUGGGACUGAGAUACGGCCCAGAAUGCUACGGGAGGCAGCAGUGGGGAAUAUUGCACAAUGGGCGGAAGCCUGAUGCAGCAACGCCGCGUGCGGGAUGACGGCCUUCGGGUUGUAAACCGCUUUCGCCUGUGACGAAGCGUGAGUGACGGUAAUGGGUAAAGAAGCACCGGCUAACUACGUG